GUGGGAAGAGAGAGGUGAUGACAGACUGGAAUCCAACCUGGGUACAUGAGGAGCAAGCUCUACCAGGUGGUGGUAUCCAGGAAGUCCACUGACGUGGUGGACUUCAGUGUGAUGGAUGGGUUGUGAUUAUUCAAGGCUGCCAGGGCGGAGGACUCCCAUUCGGCCAUGAAAAUGUUGGCAAUGUUGAAAAUGUUCUUCUCAAGUCAGGGGCGCGGCUCUGCUGCUGACCCAGUGUCUCACCUGUCUGUCUCGUCUCCUGUCAUUUUCAUGUUUUAUUGUUGUUUUAAGUGAUCGAGCCCGCAUUCUCUUUGUGGCAAAAUGAAGCUCAGCGACGUCAUGCUACUUUGGUUGGCUGUGUGCCUUCUCAGCAGUUUAAUCGCAGAAGUAUGGAGUUUACACGGAAAAGUUGGCAUCCUCACUUACACGCGGGACCAGCUGCUGUCACUCAGGCACUCAAUUAAACCGGGAGACUCUGGGCUGGAGCCACUGCUCAAGUACCCACAACUCAAAACAAGGGACUAAAAUAAAGGAAAGAGGAUCGAGAGGUGGAGUGAGAGAAAGACUAAGGAGGCGCGGCAGCAGACAUCCUCUACCGGUAAUAACAUUUUCUAAUGUUCGCUCUUUGAGCAACAAGAUGAAUGAACUGAUCGCUAAAGUUCAAUACGAUAACGAGUUCCAUCAGAGCAAUCUCAUCGUCUGUCUGUCUCUCUCUUUCUCGCUCUCUCACCCCAACUGGUUGAGACAGACGACCACCCACCUAGAGCCGGAGGAUCUGUCCUAGGUUUCUGCCUUUUAACAGGCAGUUUUUCCUUGCCCUUGUCGCCAAGUGCUUGCUCAUGGUGGUACUGUUGGGUCUCUGUAAUUAAUGUUUUAAAGAGUUCGGUCUAGACCUGCUCUAUUUGAAAAGUGUCCUGAGAUAACUUCUGUUAUGAAUUGGCGCUAUACAAAUAAAAUUGAUUUGAAUUGAA